CUCCUUAUCGCUAUUAAAUGAAAAAUAUUAUAGGAUAUUUUCAAUUACUAUUUGAACAGUUGCUUUAUAAUUAAGAUUGAAACAUAUAAAGGUUGUUGAAAAUUACAUAGAGUAAUUAGGCAAAUUUUAUCAUACAGUCUCUUUGAAGGAAACAUAUCAGUAAGACAACUCUGACACGAAAAUACAUUUCAUUAUUAAACAUAAUUAUUGUCACAGUAAAUAAUAAUUGGGUUUAACUAAAUAUAAUGUAAAUGCUUUCAUAGACUACUACACUUCAUAGUACGUUACGUUGAAAUCUAAACCUUAUGGAUUUGCAGCGCCAAAAUCCUUUAGAUGAAAUGCCAUUGGCUGAUGUAAUCAUUAAAAUGUCCAAUAUGAAUGCAAUGUUAAUGGAUUUAUAACAACAUAAUCUAUUAUGAUAAUUCCUGGUGUCCCUAACUAAGUAAUUAUCCAUUGUGGAAUAGCAGGAAAUCAGAUAGUGGAUCAGGACCAAUACUCUUUCAAGCAUAAUUAAAUGGAGAUUGUAUUGCUAAUAGCUAAUACAAGACACCAAGAGAUAUAACGUUCACCAAUAAAUAUAAACAGUACCUAGCAAUGUUGCUAUGUCCAUUUCUAAAAUAGCUUACUGUAACGGACCGUUUUACACAUAAGAGGUUAAAAAACGUUUAGGCGAUAUUCCCCUUUCCAGAUGCACCGACAGCUACUGUAAGCACCCAUCUCCCGAACUGCAAACUACACAAAUUCACCAACUCCCCAACAGGAAACCCACGAAUACUGGAAACAGCCGAACAGGAAAAGCCUACCCUCAGUUUACACUCCUGGCAAUCGGCAUACAAUCCAAUUCCCCCAAUAACGAGACGACACUUCGUUUUGAGGGUCAAGCAUAAUCUGGUUUACUGGGGCUAACUGCCUGGCUUUUAUACAGGUCUCCAACCUGGUGGACACUCCCCUAGGGGACCAGAUGGGAGACUGGGACACAAAGGGUAAAAGGACCAAUCACAGACUUACACAUUUCAACAAUCCCACAAUGCAUCACAAUCCCUCCUCUCUGGCCUGGAGAUAAUUGGGAAGUAAUCCAAUUAUCUCCAAGGACAGAGGCAAAACUCCAUUACAUACAUUUUAGUAAAAAGACUUAAAAUUACACACGGUUACCUUUAUCACACAAAACACACACAUUCUACAUAUCCCCAGAUAGCUUAGAUCUGAGCGCACAUUACUACCGAAUGGCGCUCAGAUCACAUACAUACAGUUCAAUUGCCAUGGAGCCAAAGUCUUUCCCAAAGUCUUUCAUUACACGAAUAGGCUCCAUGGCAUGGCUAUCUGGCGUGAUGCUGUUCAUACGGUCAAACUAACGAAUGAACAGUGAUUCGGUUCCACUACCGAAUGCAGAGGUAGGGAGGCUGGCGGCUCAGCGGUGUUUUCACAAAUAAGUGUCCAUUUUCAGUUCCAGUUUGGGCGCUGAACACCGCUGGCCGUUCGGGAGUAAAAAUGGCCGCUGCCACGUGUUCGGCAGACGAACAAAGGCCAAUUCAAUCGACGGCACAUUCCAGUUCCCAGGUGGCCGAUUGUUCGGUACUUUGUUCGGUAGAUUGGAUCUACAGAACACCCCAGCAGAAAGGCAUGAAUAUGCUUUUCUGCAUGGAAAAUAAAAGGUUUUUAAAUGCCGGGCCAUAGUCUAAAGGGAGCAGGCGAGCAACCAGGCUCCUCCAGUGGACAGUGGCGAGGCUGGUUUCACCACACUUACAGUGAUAUUACAGCACACAAGACAGUGGAAAGGCAUAUCAAGUUGUAUGGAUGGUGGACUUGCAAAUAUUGUCUAAAAUAAAAUGCUACAUGUGAACAAAUGAUACCAUACUUUAAAUUCAUGAAUGAGGAUCAUACUGUCUUCCAGUAUCUAUUUAGCCAGCAACCAAAUGCAAAUGGGCCAACAUUUUCCUAAUAGCAGAAAUAAUAAUAUUGAGCAUGCAUUUUAACCCCUUUAGAACUAAAAUUAGACGGGUCUCUUGUUAUCAUGACAGUCCUAUAACAGUAUACCACUGAUCAUUUUUGUGAUCCCUGCAGUGUGAGGUACAGUUUUUUUCUUUAAUUUUUUCCACCAGCAAAAGAUGAAUUUCAAUUCUGUUCCAAAAAAAACCAAAACAGCCAUAAUCCAUAUCACUUACAAAGACCCUCUACCUAAUGCAAGAGGAGUUUAUGUUAUAAAAACCAAAUGUGACUUUCAUUAAACAAAGCUAGUCUUCUAAUUUCCCCCACCAAACGUUAUAACAUUAGGAGUUUUACCAUUUAGGGCAGUGCUAUAAUUAAAUGGACUCUGUUAAACGUACCACAAGUUCUGUAUAUUAUAGUUAUUUUUGCUGUACAUUGUGCUAGCAGAAUGGUAUUUAUAAAUAAUGAUGAGAAUUAGUAAUGCAUUUCUCAUUUUUAUAGUUUGUCCAUUUCUAGCACUGGCUACACUUCCACACACAGCAUCCUACAAUGUGUUACUGCUUUGUCAUUUUGAUGUUGCAAGUAGAUAAAUAGUUUUGCAAUUUAUUUUAUUUAACUCUCUGAUGUAAUUGCUGGUAAACAUAUGUUAUAACGUAUUUAAAUGGUUACUCUAAUUGGUUACUAUGAUGCGAGGAGUACUCUGGUAAGGGUCAUAACAUAUUGACAAGCAUCUGCCUUUUGUAGAAUUAUCGGUACCAGAUGCUGAUCCAUCACUCAUUCACUGGCUAAAAAUAUCAGAUCUUUGCUCUCAGCUAAUUAAUGAACGUUGGUGCAAUGAAAUAUGCACAGGAUUGACAUUAGCCAGCCCAUAAGUCUUCUUCUUGGCUGGCUAAUAAUGUACUAAUGAUGCUGCUAGAGGUGGCAUUACAAUUACAGUAGCCAUGUAAAAU